AGAGUUUGAUCCUGGCUCAGAUUGAACGCUGGCGGCAGGCUUAACACAUGCAAGAUCGAGCGGAAACGAGAAUAGCUUGCUAUUCGGCGUCGAGCGGCGGACGGGUGAGUAAUGCAUAGGAAGUUGCCCAGACGAGGGGGAUAACCAUUGGAAACGAUGGCUAAUACCGCAUACUCUCUUUGGAGCAAAGCAGGGGAUCUUCGGACCUUGUGCGUUUGGAUACGCCUAUGUGGGAUUAGCUAGUUGGUGAGGUAAUGGCUCACCAAGGCGACGAUCCCUAGCUGGUCUGAGAGGAUGAUCAGCCACACUGGGACUGAGACACGGGCCCAGACUUCCUACCGGGAGGCAGCAGUGGGGGAAUAUUGCACAUGGGGCGCAAGCCUGGAUGCAGCCAUGCCGCGUGUAUGGAAGAAGGCCUUCGGGGUGCUACGUACUUUCAGUCGGGGGGGAAGGGUGUGUGCCU
rnacentral:rRNA from 1 species